GCCAUGAAGAGCCCUGGGCUCCUGGGGUCAGACCUUUUGGGUUCCCAAAAGCAUCUUUCUCUGCAGAGCCUUGCAGCUGGUGCUGCGGAUAGCACUUAGCAUCAAACACUUAGGAAAGCUCUCUCACGCAUAUACUUUUUGAAAAAUGGGAGCCAAAUUAGCUUCACUGUGUUCCCUUGCAAUGGGACUCGGUGCACUAAUUGGUUAAAUAUUUACACAAUGCUUUUUAAGUCAAAUAUUGCAUAUGUUCUAAAUUUUUUUUCCCAAGUCGGGCAUUAAAUGAAUACUUUAAAGCCCAUUUUUAGUGUCCCCUAAUGGGGAAAUUAAAAGUGUUUGUAGCUAAUAUAGUCGUAACACUGUGCUGUCAAAGCUCCCAGGCAAUAGAAGGGGAACUCAUUAUCCCAGGUACUGGGUACACAGAGACAGGGAUCUCAAACACAGAAAGGAUCAAAGUUAAACCAAGGCGUAAGAAGAAAAUCAGCAGCUUCUUGAAAGGAAACAAGCAAGUUUGACUCCAAAUGUAAUUUUUAUUUAAAAAAAACACAACCUUUGACUUUCACAUAAGCCAGGAUCCAGAGUGAUUGUUUCAUAGCCUUUAAGAUAUUUCAAACAACCAGUAUUAUUCUCUAGGAAAAAAUGUCCCCUUCUCUCCCAGGCACCCUCUGCAAAUUAAAUCCACAGUCCUGAAAACCUGGAAGUAGUGCCAAGCAUUUUAAUCUUACCAAAAGUAAACAAUGAGCACGAAUUUACAUAAAAAUUGACUUUUAAAAUUGUUUCAACGUUAACAUUGUAAGUGACGCUGGAAGUGUAUUAUGUGACUUUGGGUCCGCUCAAUGUUUUUUAAACGGAUGCUGCCUUUACAACAGGUGCUGGUCAUGUUUCUUUUCAGAUGUUUGUAGGAAAUUAUGUGAGGGGAAAAAAAAAAAAAAAAGCUCUGUUUUAGGAAAAGCCCAAAGGAAAAUGGAAUGAAAAGGAGGAGAUUCUCCGAGGACUGCUGAGUCUGGAAGUCUUCUGGAAGUCUUCCUGGCAGGAUGCUUUCCAGUAGAGUGGGAAGGUUGGGUGCCUGGAGGAUGCUCACGGUGGCAGCUGGGGCCUCCAGAGGCUCAAACUGUUACCUGCUCCCUUUGAGGCUGGCUGCAGAUAUCGAUGAGCACAGCUGCUUGGACACUUUUCAGCUGGGUGUGUUUUAGCAGAGGAGGGAGCACUGCUCGGAGGUCUACGGAGGCAGCAAAGUCUUAGGCAGCCUUGCUCCUCUCCGAGAUGCAUGCUGCCCACAAGGAGUGGGAAGGACGUCUCUAACCGCUGGAUGCUGCCUCCUCCAAAGCACCCAGCAGUGUGUGGCCGUCAGCACGCCGCAUCCUCGCUGCCUGGAGCAGCCCGGCCCGACGGGAACACGGCGCUGGCCAGACUCACUGCCUUUGCUCCAGCACCAAGUCAAAGCCUCCUGAUUUCGCUCUCACUGGAGUUCUGGUACAACCUUUCCCACGGCAUGUAGAAUGGAGAAAUGUCCUCCCUGCUUUUUAGGAGGGGCCCUCCUGGUGCAGCAGAAUAGUCUGUCGUACAAAGGAAACCACCAGCUCCAGAUGAUGGGAGGGAUGUAAAGUUGUUGAUGGAAACCAGCAUGCUGUGACCCUAUGGCCUUCCACUCCUCCGUGAUUUCCAGACUACGAUCAGCAGAGCCAGACCAGUUCUCAUCCCAGUCCAGUUGACCACUGGCAUCAGUAGGUGCUGACUCAGAAAGUUGGGGCUGGAGUGAUGGGAACAGAAGAGGUCACUGCAAGACCAGCGGGUUCAAAGGGCUUAACUCAGCUGCCUGUUCUGGGGGCGAGUUAAUCAGCUAUAACACGUGAGGUCUGCAAGGCACGGUGAUGAGCGGGAGCAUACGGAGGGGGAAGGCCAUAUAGUUACAAGAGCGUUGGUGACAGCACAAAAAUCCUUCUGGCAAUGUGAUUUAUUAGGCUCCGAUGAUGUCUUUCAUGCGAAGUGGCAGAUGCCUCAUCGUACACAACAUCUAAUGCAGGAUGGGAGUGGUUUCUCGGUAGGAACCCGUUCUCUCUCUGCAAGGGAAGCACUGGGCAGGCUGGGCCAAGCUGGCGGCGCUGGUUUUGUGAUUGCUGCAGCUCGCAUCACGCUUGCAGUUGGAAAGGGAGUUUUUAAAAUCAGAUUUUUAUUAGGCGCCUAAUUGACUCAUCAUCCCUGCCCCCGCCCCAUGCACGCACAUUUGCUCUGCCCUGAAAUGUGAGCUAAACGAGGCUGGCGAGAAAUGUUUGCUGAAUAUAGCUGGGGAAAGAGGGGACUGAGGAGAGUGAAGGAGGAGUGAAUUCACGCCAUUUUUUAAAAAUGAAGAUUGUAAAAGACUAAAAAAAAACCAACCAAACCCACAAACCACCAACCCACCCAUACAAAAAAUAACAACAACAAAAAGAAGUUGUGGUUUCUUAAGCCAGUUUGCAUUCCUGGAAGUUGAUGACGCCCUGGAUUACUGUCGGUUUUUUAGACCUCUCUCAAAUUUUUUUAGGAUAGUUUGUCUGUAGUGUGGGUAUGUGUGGGUAGAGAACUGGGGAAUAUGCAGAGGGGAAAAAAAAAAAGCUAAAAAUGGGCAGGAACAGGCUGACUGCAUAGGUUGGAUUUUUUUUCUUAAAAAAAAAAAAAAGCAAGCUCGAAGUUGUUAAAGAUUUGGGUAUGUGGGGGUGGAGCACAGGCAUGGCAAAGGAAGUCGAUCCUGAAGACCGCAUCUAAUACAGGAUGUUUUGUGCUUCAUUAAACACUGUGCCUCUUCGGCUACAGAAGAGCUCUGUCUCAGUUUGCAAAAUAAUCAGUCCAAACUUCUGAUUUCUGUCACUUAGAAGCUGCCUUGCUCCGCAGAGAGGAGAAGAGAUGCAGCCAAGGCCAGUGUGCUGGGAGCAUGACAGUGCGGUGGUCUCGCGAGUCUUGGCGCCACCAGGAAAUUUCUUUCUUGUUGCUGUCCAGCUUUGGUGAGAGAUCUCAUUUCUGCUUUUUUUUUUUUUUCUUAGAAAACAGUCAUCUUCUUCAGGACGUAGGUCUCUUUUCUCCAUGUUAUUCAUGCUUAGGCUGAGCUGAGCCUCACCAGUCUCAGGGUGAGGCUCAGGCACCAGGGAUGCUGCUGCUUCACAGAAAAUCCAAAAAAAUGGAGAGUUAGCUCAGCUGGUCUCUCAGCAGGGCAGAGGGAAGGCGGGGUGUCAGAGGGCCAAGGUCUCCUCCCAUUUACGUGAGUGUGUAACAGCCAGAGCGUGUUCUGGCUAUUCUGUCGAUUUCCUGAUGGUUGCUCUGGAUUUUUAUUGCUUGCACUAAAGGAAGGGUCCGGUCUGUAGUUUGAACAGCUUAGAGGGAACGUAGAGGAAAAAAAAACCAGUUGUUGCAUCAGUGUCUGAAGGAGAAAUAACUCUGCCCUCUCUGCCAGGGUGUGUGAUGGUUUCCUGGGGAGAACGGCUCCGUGCCGGCCGGGGCCUUGGCUCCCGCACCUGGCCGCUGUGCCCUGCCCGGAGGUGGCAGCUGUGAGGUGUGGGUGCUGUCACUGCCAGGUGAAAAACACCCCUUACAUUUUCACUCCCAGCUCCUCUCCACCCUGAAAGCUCUGUAGACAUGCCAAGAUCACAGGUUUUAUUUUUUCCUGUUACCAAAGCAGAGGCUGACGUACCCAGUAAGUGUAUCCAACAGGUCUGUCCUUUGCUCGUUGCUCCUUUCCAAUACAAUGAGGCCUUAUUCGAAAAGUUCAGCUUAGCUCUCUUUUUUUUUUUUUUUUUUUUUCCCCUCAGCUGGAAGCUUCCUUUUAAAACAUUAAUAUCCAUAUUAAUUUUUUUUUUCCCCCUAGCAGGUUAAUUAAUACUUGAUUCAUCACCUCAAAAGCUAAUGGAUAUUUAUCCAGAUCAUGAAGGAAAUGAAUGCCUUCUAUAAAUAACUGCCGCAACCCUCGCUAGCGCUCACUGACAACCCAUCUUUAUGCUCCUUCGGGAAACAAACUCUGCUCAGCUCUAGAGGAGCUAAUCCUAACCUUUUCCCAGGUUUUGCACUGGCCUGGCUCAAUGUUUUCCUACUUGAGCUUUACUUUACAAACAUGGUGCCUUUUUUUCUGAGGGAAAAGGGCAGCGUUUGUGGAGAGAGACUCAGACAGCGUGGUGUAAUCGCUCCAGCCUGGCCAGCAAAGGCCAUUUGAGACUUUGGGUGUUUUCGUGGGCUGGGAGGUCUCUGGCCCUCUUCAAAACGUUGUUUAGUUUUGGCUAUUGAAAAAAAAAAAAUAUUGGAGAGCCUUUUCCGAGUUCCCAUCUGCUUCAAAUAAAUGGUGUUUAUUGUCUUUGUCUCUAGCUCUCCAGCUAUUGUCAUCAGUGACCUUAAUUAGGAGCAUAUUAAAAAUCAUGUCUAGUUUGUUGCUCACACGUGAAAAAUUAAAAACUAAUUAUUUACUUUUACUGUUAACUUGCACAUUCCUCCUGGGUUCUGCUCUGCAUCUGAGAGCAUCUGACUGCUCGCUGGAGAAGAACAUCCUUGUUGUCCAUACAGCCUGCAAGGGCAGAAAUAAUUGGAUGGGUACCAGGAAGCUGGACAAGGGGACUGAGGGGCACAGAGCUCUGUGUGGGUGCGGGAAGCCAACCAAAGCACAACCUGUUUUAAAGUUGUUCCUUGGCUUUUCCCACAACCCUGCCCAUUGCUCGCUGCUGCCUGUGGUGGGUCUACACCAGGUCUCAUGUCCUGCAUCUCUUACCAGUCAAAAGCUGCUCUCAUGUCUCCAAAGGGGCUGGGGGCUGCCAAGAGCUCUACGUGUUCAUCCAGACCAAGGCUGGAAAAUAUGGAUGAUGUCAUUCCUAGGCUUCUGACCUCACUGCAGUAAAACCCAGUGAACAGCUUGCCUCGGGUUCUGCAGGGAGGACUUUUUGUCACUUCGGCAAUGACACUUGUUUUGAGGCAGGGGACAUUGGCUCAUGCAUUUUUAAUUCUUGAGCUUGGCAGCACUGGAUGAAUUAGAAACAGAAAAACUGAUUUUAAUGAGUGUAAGAUUAAUGCAGAUGAGUUUGGCUGAAACCGCAAUCCAGCUGAGGAGGGAGGAUUUUCUCACUUCACCUACCAGCUCUCUCCUCGGUGGGCUGUUACGUUGCAAGCAUUACUGUAGCAGAGCAAAUUCUCAUCACUCGUCAUUACCUGGAAGAGAGAUGCUCGUUAAACAGCUUGGUUCAUACAGAAAAUCUUGCACGUUAACCCUUGGUGGCUGCCCUGGACCCUCGACGGCCUUG